UAAAGGCGUAACGUUUCAUUAAUAAUAAAAACAAUAAACUGGACUGAAAAUAGAUAUCAACAGAAACAAAUGGUUUUUGCUCUUAGAUUACUGGGGAGCGAAAAACUCUCCUUUUCUAAGCGAUAGUUGUAAACGUUAUUAUAAUCAUCAUAAUGCUAACUUCCUGGCUCUAAAUAAAAGAUAUAAACUGUUGAAUAUAUAUCAAAAAUAGUUGAAUCCUUGCUUGCCAUGAAGAAAACCAAAAUUUUUUUCUCAUAAAUGUUCGAUAAUGCAGUUAUUUACGCACAUACCUCAGCCAGCUUUUUUAAUUCAGAGGAUCCGCGAUCCUCCAUAGUGCCCAAUACGUUUCGAACAGCACUUUGUAACUGUUGUCGAUGCGAGGCUGAUAUAUUUUCGUGAGUCAAGAGUUUGCAAAUAAAAGACGGACCAUAAGUUUGUUCGAAAAGUAUUUUCUCUAAAGAGUUUGGAUUGAGAUCAUUUUGCGUAUCCAAAAUAGCAUCAACGACUAAAUCACCACAAGCAGUAUCACCUUGUGAUAUGGAAAUUAUUUUAAGAAGGGAAUUAUAAGCUAGUCGAUGAGUGCAAACUCUAACAAUGUCUUGAACAAAUCUCCGGGUUAAAAGAAUAGGAAUAUGAGGAUAGUUCAUAUUUUCAACAAGAUAAGUUAACAGUAGCGUACCAUUACCGUUCAUAGCUAAGUGUACGGAAUAGACUGUUAUAGCAGCAGCAACAAGUACACGUUGUUC